GAUGAACGCUGGCGGCGUGCCUAAUACAUGCAAGUCGAGCGAACAGACGAGGCGCUUGCUCCUCUGACGUUAGCGGCGGACGGGUGAGUAACACGUGGAUAACCUACCUAUAAGACUGGGAUAACUUCGGGAAACCGGAGCUAAUACCGGAUAAUAUAUUGAACCGCAUGGUUCAAUAGUGAAAGACGGUUUUGCUGUCACUUAUAGAUGGAUCCGCGCCGCAUUAGCUAGUUGGUAAGGUAACGGCUUACCAAGGCAACGAUGCGUAGCCGACCUGAGAGGGUGAUCGGCCACACUGGAACUGAGACACGGUCCAGACUCCUACGAGAGGCAGCAGUAGGGAAUCUUCCGCAAUAGGCGAAAGCCUGACGGAGCAACGCCGCGUGAGUGAUGAAGGUCUUCGGAUCGUAAAACUCUGUUAUUAGGGAAGAACAAAUGUGUAAGUAACUAUGCACGUCUUGACGGUACCUAAUCAGAAAGCCACGGCUAACUACGUG
rnacentral:rRNA from 1 species